UACGUAGGGUGCAAGCGUUAAUCGGAAUUACUGGGCGUAAAGCGUGCGCAGGCGGUUUUGUAAGUCUGACGUGAAAUCCCCGGGCUCAACCUGGGAAUUGCGUUGGAGACUGCAAGGCUGGAGUCUGGCAGAGGGGGGUAGAAUUCCACGUGUAGCAGUGAAAUGCGUAGAGAUGUGGAGGAACACCGAUGGCGAAGGCAGCCCCCUGGGUCAAGACUGACGCUCAUGCACGAAAGGCGUGGGGAGCAAAC
rnacentral:rRNA from 1 species